rnacentral:rRNA from 1 species
GCGCGUAAAUUGCCCGAAUCCUGACACAGGGAGGUAGUGACAAGAAAUAACAAUACAGGGCUACUUCUAGUCUUGUAAUUGGAAUGAGUACAACUUACAUCUCUUCACGAGGAUCAAUUGGAGGGCAAGUCUGGUGCCAGCAGCCGCGGUAAUUCCAGCUCCAAUAGCGUAUAUUAAAGUUGUUGCAGUUAAAACGCUCGUAGUCGGAUUUCGGGGCCUGCCUGCCGGUCUGCCGAUGGGUAUGCACUGGCAGGCGCGUCCUUCCUUCCGGAGACUGUCCCUACUCUUAACUGAGCGGGGUCGGGAGACGGAUCGUUUACUUUGAAAAAAUCAGAGUGUUUCAAGUAGGCAGCUCGCUCUUGCAUGGAUUAGCAUGGGAUAAUGAAAUAGGACUUUGGUGCUAUUUUGUUGGUUUCGAACACCGAAGUAAUGAUUAACAGGGACAGUCAGGGGCACUCGUAUUCC